GCAAAAUUAACAACAACAAUAAUGACGACAAGAAAAAGAGCAAUGUUGAUGUCCUCAUCCUCGUCAUCCGUAUUUCUUUCUUCUUCUCUUCUUCCUUCUUCUUCUCUUAC
rnacentral:ribozyme from 12 species